rnacentral:rRNA from 1 species
AACGAACGCUGGCGGCAUGCCUAACACAUGCAAGUCGAACGAGACCUUCGGGUCUAGUGGCGCACGGGUGCGUAACGCGUGGUAACCUGCCCUUAGGUUCGGAAUAACUCCCCGAAAGGGGUGCUAAUACCGGAUAAUGUCUUCGGACCAAAGAUUUAUCGCCUUUGGAUGGGCCCGCGUGGGAUUAGCUAGUUGGUAGGGUAAAUGCCUACCAAGGCGACGAUCCAUAGCUGGUCUGAGAGGAUGAUCAGCCACACUGGGACUGGGACACGGCCCAGACUCCUACGGGAGGCAGCAGGGGGGAAUAUGGGACAAUGGGCGAGAGCCUGAUCCAGCAAGGCCGCGUGAGUGAUGAAGGCCUUAGGGUUGUAAAGCUCAUUUAACCGGGAUGAUAAUGACAGUACCGGGAGAAUAAGCUCCGGCUAACUCCGUG